AUUGAACGCUGGCGGCAGGCCUAACACAUGCAAGUCGAACGAGCGGAGGACGGGUGAGGAAUGUAUGGGGAUACGUCCGUAAGAGAGGGAUAACAACGGGAAACGCUAGCUAAUAUCGCACAAUAUCUGCUGUACGCAGAUGGGAUUAGCUAGUAGGUGGGGUAAUGGCUCACCUAGGCGAAGAUCCCUAGCUGUGCUGAGAGGAUGAUCAGCCACACUGGGACUGAGACACGGCCCAGACUCCUACGGGAGGCAGCAGUGGGGAAUAUUGGACAAUGGGCGAAAGCCUGAUGCAGCCAUGCCGCGUGUAUGAAGAAGGCCCUCGGGUUGUAAAGUACUUUCAGUCGGGAGGCGUUACCGACAGAAGAAGCACCGGCUAACUCCGUGCCAGCAGCCGCGGUAAUUC
rnacentral:rRNA from 1 species